rnacentral:rRNA from 1 species
AGAGGAAGUAAAAGUCGUAACAAGGUUUCCGUAGGUGAACCUGCGGAAGGAUCAUUAUCGAGUUUUGACUGGGCUGUCGCUGGCCUUAYGGGGCAUGUGCACGUCCUGCUCAUCCACUCUACACCUGUGCACUACUGUGGGUUUUAAAUGCAACUGAUAGGCUCUUAUGGGCCUAUAAAACGUAUUUAAGCCUGCGUUUAUUACAAACAACACAAAAAGUAUAAGAAUGUUCAUUAUGAUGUAACACAUCAAUGUACAACUUUCAGCAACGGAUCUCUUGGUUCUCGCAUCGAUGAAGAACGCAGCGAAAUGCGAUAAGUAAUGUGAAUUGCAGAAUUCAGUGAAUCAUCGAAUCUUUGAACGCACCUUGCGCUCCUUGGUAUUCCGAGGAGCAUGCCUGUUUGAGUGUCAUGAAAUCAUCAACUUAAUAAAUCUUUAUGGGUUUAUUAUGCUUGGACCUGGAGGUUUGUUGGCUAUCAAUGUCAGCUCCUCUUAAAUGCAUUAGCUUGGUUUCUGAACAGCUACUGGUGUGAUAAUUGUCUAUGCCAUUACUGUGAAGUGCUUACCAUGCUUAUAACUGUCUCUGGACAAUUUAUUGACAUCUGACCUCAAAUCAGGUAGGACUACCCGCUGAACUUAAGCAUAUCAAUAA